GGACAAAUCUGGUUUGUUGCAAGUUCCCAUUUUCUUUUUCUUCUGUUUACAUGGUUAAUUCUAGUCCCUCAAUUCCACGAAUCAGUAUAUGAAGUGGUUACGUUUUUAUUAAUCUGGGAAGCAAUGUUUUCAUCAUUGCAUUUGUUACAGAUUUGAAGGCUUUAUUUCUAUACUUUGGUGGUAGGGUUCAUUUUUUACAUAAACGGCAUAUUUUACAAUGUUUUUAUUCUUUAACACUGAAUAUAAACUAUUUCAGUGAUUAAAUUUCCUAACCUAUUUUACAAUUUAUUCUUUUUUAACACUUAGAAUAAACAGUUCACAGGGACACUUAUUUGGCAGAUCUUAAAUUGUUUAUUCAAUGAGAUCUUUUUUUCAUCCUUCGUGUGGUUUUCUUUUGUUGUUAGUUUUGGAAGACCAUCUUAAUUUUUGCCCCUCCUUUCUAUUGUUAUGCUUCCAUACCUCUUCAAAAUAGUGGGUGCGGGGACUCAGAUUAACAUUUCAUGCGGUAGUAAUUGUUGGUGCAUUAUACAUAUACUUGUCUUCUAACUCAAUGCAUGACUUUUAUAUGCAGUGUUUGGAUAGGGGGUAGUAUAUUGGCAUCUCUUGGCUCCUUCCAGCAAAUGUGGUUCUCCAAAUCCGAGUAUGAGGAGCAUGGAGCUUCAUAUAUCCAAAGGAAGUGUCCGUGAGUUGCUGUUGUACAAGUUUAUUUCACUGCCUUUUAUGUUGGUGACUUAAGGAAGUGCUAUGAACGCUGAAGUAGUGUUUGUCUACUGACGGAUUUUUCUUUUCUAUUUGAUGGCCAUUCCCAUUAGAUCCCAUUCUAACUAAAUUAUUGGCUUCAAUUGAAUCACAGAUCCCCUAUGACUAAUCUGUAAUGAUGUAAAGUGUGCCUAGAGUCUGUAACAAUGCCUCAUUUAUUAAAUUAGAUUUAUCUUCUGUGUA